ACAAAAACAAAACUAGAGAGAAAGAGAGAGAGACAGAGACAAAGACACAGAGAGACAAAGAGAGAGGGGGGAUAUUGCAGCUGAUACCACAGUACUAUGAAGGAUCUUAAGAGAUCAUCAUGAACAGUUGUACACUAAGAAGUUGGAAAACCUAGAAGAAAAUCAUAUAUCCCUGGUCUUAAACAGCCUGUUAGCAUUGAAUCACAACAAAGUGUAUAAGAUAUCUGAACAGACCAGUAAUGAACAAAGACAGUGAUUCAAUAAUGUCUCUCUUAAAACAAAACAAAACAAAACAACUUAGAAUCUGAUGAUACCACUGCCAAAUUCUACAGACCAUUUCACUUACUCUGAUAUUCCAUAUUUGCCUUUAAAUAAAAUCUUAUUUUAGCAAGAUCAUAUUUACUUUUAAAGAAAACUUAAUAUCACUUGAUUACUAGAAAGUUUAUUUCACCUACUACACACAGGGGGAAACAAAGAAAGUAGAAUGCCAUUAAGGUAUAUAAAAUUACCCAUUGAAGACUUGCGACCUAAAGUAUUUUUUAUCUUUUAUUUUUUUUAGAAAUGCAAGAGCAGGAAUAAAUUCAUUGCUGCUGCUAGCUUGAGGCACUCUCCUGUAUAAGACAGUGGAACGAGAAUUCAACUGAGUGCUAGCUAUGAAUGAGUCACAUAAAUUCUGAAAGAACUGGUUCAUUCUUUUAUUGAUCAAUAAUUUUGGCUCUUGUCCUCAGGUACUCUGGUGUUGUAGAUCAUACUCUGUAUAGUCCUGAACAGUUGGAGGCAAACAGGUUCCACUGUGGUAUCUGCAGUGGGCAUUUCAUCAGAAUGGCUCAAGAUGAAAAUGUAAACUCUGCUGGCUGAAUUCUGGCAGAAGGCCUUUGGAUGAAGCAAGAUGUCUUGGUACACAUCAUCAUCCCAGGACUUGGGUGAUGGAGGAAUGAAACAUUUUGUCUGCUGAUGCUGCUUAAAAGUUGUCUAUUAGACAACCAGUCAGUGACCUGUCCUGUCUGCAGAAAGCCAGCUGAGAUCUGUAGUUCUGUCUCCAAGCAGGUGGGGAUAUGGUUGUCCUUUCAAUGCAUUGGCUAGAAGCUCCCCCUGCCAAGAACUGAACGCUUUAAUUCUGUGAUUCAUCAAAGCCGUUCCUUAUACCUGGUGUCAAGUAACCUUUCUUUUCAGGAGGUCUAACCCAAUAGCCUCCCAGACCUCAGGAUGAAAGCAGGCAGCGUGUACACUGUGUGCAAGAAGGACAAAGAAGAAACACACUCAAAGCCGAGCCCCAUGUUACAUAAUGCCUGUGUUUGAAGAUCCAUGACCCAUAAAACAUUUACCUACUUUGUGGGGUUUAAAUAAAGCAGAGUGGUGUUCCUUUUUAAAGAACUACUUUACAGUUA